rnacentral:rRNA from 1 species
GAGUUUGAUCCUGGCUCAGAUUGAACGCUGGCGGCAUGCCUUACACAUGCAAGUCGAACGGCAGCACGGGAGCUUGCUCCUGGUGGCGAGUGGCGAACGGGUGAGUAAUGCAUCGGAACGUAUCCUGGAGUGGGGGAUAACGUAGCGAAAGUUACGCUAAUACCGCAUAUUCUGUGAGCAGGAAAGCGGGGGACCUUCGGGCCUCGCGCUCUUGGAGCGGCCGAUGUCGGAUUAGCUAGUUGGUGAGGUAAAGGCUCACCAAGGCGACGAUCCGUAGCAGGUCUGAGAGGAUGAUCUGCCACACUGGAACUGAGACACGGUCCAGACUCCUACGGGAGGCAGCAGUGGGAAUUUUGGACAAUGGGGGCAACCCUGAUCCAGCCAUGCCGCGUGAGUGAAGAAGGCCUCGGUUGU